ensembl:lncRNA
AUGGAUUGGCGUGGCCGAGGGGUCAGCAUGGCCGAUGGGUUGGCGCGGCCAAGGGGCCAAGGGGUGGUCAAGGGGUCGGCACGGCCGAUGGGUUGGCGUGGCCGAGGGCUUGGCAUGGCCAAGGGCCAAGGGUGCUCAAAGGGUCAGCACGGCUGGGGGUCAGUGUGGCUGGGGGUCAGUGUGGCUGGGGGUCAGUGUGGCUCAGGGGUCCAUGGUCUGAGGACUGACCAAGAGUUUGGCACAGCCAGUGGCUUGGCAUGGCCAAAGGGUCAGUGUGGUCAAGGGGCCAGCCUGGCCAAUGGGUUGGCGUGGCCAAAGCACGGCCAGGGUGUUGGCACGGCCAAUGGCUUGGUGUGGCCGAGGGGUUGGUGUGGCCGAGGGGUCAGUGUAGCCAAGGGGUCAAUGUGGCUGAGGGGUCAGUGUGACCCCGGGAUUGGCAUGGCCGAGGGGUCGGUGUGGCCGAGGGGUCGGCACAGCCGAUGGGUUGGCGUGGCCGAGGGGUUGGUGUGGCCCCAGGAUUGGCAUGGCCGAGGGGUCAGUGUGUCCAAGGGGUCGGUGUGGCCGAGGGGUCGGUGUGACCCCAGGAUUGGCAUGGCCAAGGGGUUGGCGUGGCCAAAGGUUUGGCAUGGCCGAUGCGUCGUUGUGACCGAGGGGUCAGUGGGACCCGGGGGUUGGCAGAGCCGGGGGGUGACCGAGGGGUCAGCACGGCCGAUGGGUUGGCGUGGCCGAGGGGUCACCGGGACCGGGGUCAGCAUGGCCGAUGGGUUGGCGUGGCCAAGGGGUCACCGGGACCGGGGUCAGUGCGGCCGAUGGGUUGGCGUGGCCAAGGGGUCACCGGGACCGGGGUCAGCACGGCCGAGGGGUUGGCGUGGCCGAGGGGUCACUGAGACCGGGGUCAGCGCAGCCGAGGGGCCGGGCCGGGGUCAGGGGUCACUGGGACCGGGGUCAGCGCGGCCGAGGGGCCGGGCCGGGGUCAGGGGUCACUGGGACCGGGGUCAGCGCGGCCGAGGGGCCGGGCUGGGGUCAGGGGUCAGCUGGGCUCCCGCUCUGCCUUCUCCCGGAUGGCUUUUCCAAAGGCGAGGUGGCCCUGCCUCUGCGGAUGUCCGGAGCGGGGACGGGAGCCGGGGACACCGGGAAUCACCGGGAAGGGACGGCAGCGCUUCGGGAACGGCCACGGCACCGGACCNGGCCGAGGGGUUGGCGUGGCCGAGCCGUGGUCGAGGGGUCGGCGUGGCCGAGAGGCCAAGCGGUGGUCAAAGGGUCAGCGCGGCCGAAGAGUUGGCGUGGCCGAGCUUUUGGCGUGGCCGAGGGGCCGGCGUGGCCGAGGGGCCGGCGCGGCCGAGGGGUGGUCAAGGGCUUGGCAUGGCUGAUGGGUUGGCGUGGCCGAGGGGUCGGCACGGCCGGUGGGUUUGCCUGGCAAAGGGAUGGUGAAGCUCUUGGCGUGGCCGAUGGCUUGGCACGGCCAAGGGGUCAACGCGGCCACUGGAUUGGCACGGCCGAGGGGUUGGCGUGGCCGAGGGGUGGUCAAGGGCUUGGCACGGCCAAUGGAUUGGCACGGCCGAGGGGUUGGCGUAGCCGAGGGGCGCAAAGGGUCGGCACGGCCGAUGGGUUGGCACGGCCAAGGGAUCAACACGGCCAAUGGAUUGGCACGGCCAAUGGGUUGGCGUGGCCAAAGGAUCAACAUGGCCGAAGGGUUGGCACGGCCAAAGGGCCAAGGGGUGGUCAAGGGGUCGGCACGGCCGAGGGGCUGGCAUGGCCGAAAGAUUGGCACGGCCAAAGGGCUGAGGCGCGGUCAGGGCCUUGGCACAGCCAAUGGAUUGGCGUGGCCGAGGGGUCAGCAUGGCCGAUGGGUUGGCGCGGCCAAGGGGCCAAGGGGUGGUCAAGGGGUCGGCACGGCCGAUGGGUUGGCGUGGCCGAGGGCUUGGCAUGGCCAAGGGCCAAGGGUGCUCAAAGGGUCAGCACGGCUGGGGGUCAGUGUGGCUGGGGGUCAGUGUGGCUGGGGGUCAGUGUGGCUCAGGAGUCCAUGGUCUGAGGACUGACCAAGAGUUUGGCACGGCCAGUGGCUUGGCAUGGCCAAGGGGUCAGUGUGGUCAAGGGGCCAGACUGGCCAAUGGGUUGGCGUGGCCAAAGCACGGCCAGGGUGUUGGCACGGCCAGUGGAUUGGCAUGGCCAAGGGGUCGGCGUGGUCAAGGGGCCAGCCUGGCCAAUGGGUUGGCGUGGCCAAAGGACGGCUGAGGGGUUGGCACAGCCAAUGGCUUGGUGUGGCCGAGGGGUUGGUGUGGCUGAGGGGUCGGUGUAGCCAAGGGGUCAAUGUGGCUGAGGGGUCAGUGUGACCCCGGGAUUGGCAUGGCCGAGGGGUCGGUGUGGCCGAGGGGUCGGUGUAGCCGAGGGGUCGGCACAGCCGAUGGGUUGGCAUGGCCGAGGGGUCGGU